UAUGACAUCCGCAUGAUCCAUAACCACAGAA
rnacentral:piRNA from 2 species